AUUAUUUUGGCAGAUUAGUGUAAAAGAUUUAGAAUCUUUAAAUGUAUAUUUUACAAAUAAUA
rnacentral:tRNA from 1 species